rnacentral:rRNA from 1 species
UACGAAGGGAGCUAGCGUUGUUCGGAAUCACUGGGCGUAAAGCGCACGUAGGCGGAUGUGUCAGUCAGGGGUGAAAUCCCGGGGCUCAACCUCGGAACUGCCUUUGAUACAGCAAGUCUUGAGUUCGAGAGAGGUGGGUGGAAUUCCUAGUGUAGAGGUGAAAUUCGUAGAUAUUAGGAAGAACACCGGUGGCGAAGGCGGCCCACUGGCUCGACACUGACGCUGAGGUGCGAAAGCGUGGGGAGCAAACAGG